rnacentral:rRNA from 1 species
CUGGGUCCACCUCCCACCCGUGUUUAUUGUACCUUGUUGCUUCGGUGCGCCCGCCUCACGGCCGCCGGGGGGCUUCUGCCCCCGGGUCCGCGCGCACCGGAGACACCAUUGAACUCUGUCUGAAGAUUGCAGUCUGAGCAUAAACUAAAUAAGUUAAAACUUUCAACAACGGAUCUCUUGGUUCCGGCAUCGAUGAAGAACGCAGCGAAAUGCGAUAACUAAUGUGAAUUGCAGAAUUCAGUGAAUCAUCGAGUCUUUGAACGCACAUUGCGCCCCCUGGUAUUCCGGGGGGCAUGCCUGUCCGAGCGUCAUUGCUGCCCUCAAGCACGGCUUGUGUGUUGGGCUCCGUCCCCCCGGGGACGGGCCCGAAAGGCAGCGGCGGCACCGAGUCCGGUCCUCGAGCGUAUGGGGCUUUGUCACCCGCUCUGUAGGCCCGGCCGGCGCCAGCCGACAACCCAUCAUCCUUUUCAGGUUGACCUCGGAUCAGGUAGGGAUACCCGCUGAACUUAAGCAUAUCAAUAGCCGGAGGAAA